UACGUAGGGCGCAAGCGUUGUCCGGAAUUAUUGGGCGUAAAGAGCUCGUAGGCGGUUUGUCGCGUCUGUCGUGAAAGCCCACGGCUUAACCGUGGGUCUGCGGUGGAUACGGGCAGACUAGAGGCAGGUAGGGGAGAAUGGAAUUCCCGGUGUAGCGGUGAAAUGCGCAGAUAUCGAGAGGAACACCAGUGGCGAAGGCGGCUCACUGGGCUCUACCUGACGCUGAGGCGCGAAAGCGUGGGGAGCGAACCGG
rnacentral:rRNA from 1 species